GCGGUGCAAGCUGAGCAGAGGUUUUGGUUCAGAAAACCACAUUAGAACUUUUAGAACUUAUCUUACGUCCUGUUAAUUAUGUUAUAGCUUAUAAUUAUUUAUCUUUUUAUCACUCCGCCUAUUCAGUUCAUUUAUUUUUAAUAUUAUUCGUUUUGCACUUUCCAUUGUUGAGUGAGACUGGGAACAGCGUGUGAGGCGGGAGAAUUGAAAGUUCCAGAAACAAUUCAUUACCGUUUUGACUUGAAUGAUGUCUGAGUUACAAAAAGAGAUUAAGCAAACCUUACAGUGAGUAAUACCAAGCCUUCCUGACAAGUCACUCAAUUAGUCAGUUUAGAAAUGUGUAGGCUGAGGAGUAGAAGAUUUAAUGUACAUGAAAGAAGAGGACUUCUUAAGAGUUCAGUACCAAACUGUUCAGCGCCUGGAAAGAUCAUGGUAAGUCAGACAAUAAGCUAAUUAUGUUGUGCGCAUUGUUUGUUGUGACACUCUUGAACUGAUAUUUCAUAACAUUUUUCAGAAUAAAGAAGCAGCAUUUUGGUUCAGUAAUUAGUUUGACCUAUAGGUCUCCUCAAAAUUCACCACAAAUGAGCUCCUCAGGCAUCUCAAUAAGAAAAUGGAUGGACUCACGCUUCAAGCAGAUGCAUUUGCCACUUCAGCAGAUGUCCAAGGAACACUCAACUUGCCUGACAGUCCUUGAAUUAUAAUUCUUGGUCAAACUCUAAGCAACCAGCAGUGGAUGGUGAGCAUUGAAGGUCACGUUGUAUGUGAGGGAACACAACUCAGCUUUGUCUGUGGCCGUACUGCUGUGUUUGCUUCAUGGGUGGACACUUUUUCUUUGGUGUCAUUUCUUGUGACUGAAGACAGAGAAAGCAAAAUUAAAAUGAUAUAUUGACAUCAACCCUGAACACAUGUUCAAGGCCAAUCAAGGAAAAGCUACAUCCAAGAAGACUAGCCAAGUAGUCCAUAACAAGAAGAACGCAGUAAACCCUCAUUUUUUCUAUCCACUUUGUAAGAUAAUGGACUUUGAACGGAAUUCAUCCAAGACCACUUUGUUCACUUUUAAUUUUGACAGUUUAGGCAAUUUUUGUCUAACAUGGUGUUCUUAUUCUAUUUUAAUGUGAAGGUCAACAUUGGUGUUAUACUUUUAAAUUUAGUAUUGAAUGCUGCACUAUGUUUAUUGCCAGUGUUUCCCACCUCUGUUGCAACCAUCUGUGUUUAUCUGAAAUAAUGAAAGACUGCUAACAAUUAAAAAAACUGGUAAUGUAAAAAGCCAAUCAAGACCAUAAAAAUAAAUGUUUAUUGGAAUGUU